rnacentral:rRNA from 1 species
CACGUAGGUGGGUCGCUAAGUCGGGGGUGAAAUCCUGGAGCUCAACUCCAGAACUGCCUUCGAUACUGGCGAUCUUCGAGUCCGGGAGAGGUGGGUGGAACUGCGAGUGUAGAGGUGAAAUUCGUAGAUAUUCGCAAGAACACCAGUGGCGAAGGCGGCUCACUGGCCCGGUACUGACACUGAGGUGCGAAAGCGUGGGAGCAAACA